rnacentral:lncRNA from 1 species
AGGAGGACAGAUAAGCAGGCUGCCCUGGACACAAGGCAAAGGCUUUUGCAAUGCAGUUGUCAGCAGCAGUCAUGCAGCAGUAAGUGAUGGAGGCCUGAGAAGUGACCUGUUACCAUCUAAUCUCAGCAGUCACCAUUUGCCUCUCCACUGUCCCCUCCACGCCUCUGGUGAUGGCUUAGUGACUCUCCUUGCCCAGCAGGUCGGUUUUCCAAUUACUUCCAGCCGGGCCUGCUUUCCCCUGAAUUUCAUUUCCGGGCCUGUUGAAGCCAAAUUAAUUUUUAAUCACCUUUGAGGUGUUCUGUUUAAUUACCUGGGUUGAACUGAUGAGAACAGUGUGUACGGAGGCGAAACUUUGGGGGUGCUUCUCAGGAACGGGGUGUGGGGUGUUUCUAGAGUGCUGUGCAGGUGGAGAGACAUGGGAUGCCCAGCAACAUGACAGACUAUGAGGACUAUGACGGACGGUGUAAGAGAAAGAAGAGAACCUCGUGAGUCUGCCUCACGUGACACAACCCAAAACUUCCCCUUCAGAUCCCUGCAAACGCCUGAGCUUGGAGUGGAGACUCUCACUUAGGAAGGAAAAAUGAGCUGAGGAUGUGCCAACAAACAGGCAUGUGCCAUCAAGGCCUGUUUAUGGCUGAAACCCAGGUCCUUGUGCAUAUGAGACCAGCACUCUACCAACUGAGCUAUGCGGGGACUCUGAAAACAGAUUUUUAAAAAUUCGGAUUUUUAUAAAUAAAUAUAUAUGUGUGUGUGUGUGUGUGUAUGAGUGUUUCCCCUAAAAGUUUGCAUGUGUGUGCAGUGCUCUGUGAAGGACACCAAACCCCCCUGGAACUGCUGUUAAAGAAGAUUAUAAGCCACCAAGAAUGGGUGUUGAGGAUAAACAGCAGUCCAGCAGAAGAGCAGCGCUUGUUCUUGACCACUCGGCCCUCUCUCUAGCCCCAGGAAGUAGAUUUCUAACAUUAUUUUACAUUAUUGAAGAAAGUUAAAGUAAUACUUUGUGGUAUGUUUUGUUGGAGACCAGCAGAAUGGGUUUACACAUUGCCCGUUGCCAACCCUCAGAGGCAGAAGCGAACAGUAGUGACACACACUGAAUGGACCGCAAAUACUUACUUCUAACCAUUUCCAGAAAAAAAAAAGGCUCUCUGACCUUUGACCCAGGCCAGUUGUGACACUCUUCUCUCUUUUUCCCCCUAAGCUUCCUUGCAGCUAGGAGUGGCCACUUGUUCUCCUCAGUCAGGCAAAGAUCUGCAGGGGAGACUGGUAUAAAGCCCUGCUGUUCCAAAGGAAAGAGUGGGAUGUGUCUGGGAACUCUCCCACCUACUUCCUGUCUGAACUGUGAGUUAGCCCUGGGGAGCCCACCCAGCCCUCUUUUAGAACCCAUCUCCUGCUGAGAGACAGGAAGCACAGGGUCAUGAGUUCAAGUAGAAGGGCUGGGUCCCCGUUGGCUACUGUCCAGGAGAAGCGGAAUGCCUGCCCUGAGCACCUGCCCAGAGGUUAGGCUACUUGUAGCCUAGAUCCGAGGAGCCACUUGUCUGCCAGGAACUUGUCAGUGGCUCCUGAUUGCCAGACCCACAUCAGUACAUGGGAAAGUUAUAAGGUAAACUAAGGUCCACUGUUGGAUUCUGGGGUCCUAGAGGCAAAAUUUCUCAGUGUUCCCUUAUCCCCGAAACUCCUAUAGCUCUCAAAAGAUAAUAAUCAAAAUAAUGUUGGAUGUUUUGGAGGAUGUUUGAGAGAUGAAUAAAUGAAUGAAUGGAUGGAUGAAUGAAUGAAUGAAUGAAUGAAUGGAAGCAUAUAGUUAUCAAGAGGGAGCUACACAGAAUUGAAAGCAGCCUGGAAAGUCUGACCUAGGUAUUCUAUUAGUUAACAAAGGAAACCGGGUUUCCAUGAGUAUAAUUGGCUUUCCUAUGGUCACAAGAGUUAGGAGGAAAAAAGUUGGGAUCCCACCUUAAGGCUGGUUCAACUCCUUGGAUACUGGCCUCUCCGGCCUCAGCUCCUUGGACAUUCCCUGAGGCAAUGCCAGACAUAAUCUGUAGAAGUAGGUGACAAAUCUACCAUCACCUAGGGGAAAGCAUGAAAGGAAACUUGAUGAGUUUGGACGACUGCCAGUCACUGCCUCUCUCCCUCGCAUCCCCCAGUUCUGCUCCUAGAAUUGCCAGGAACACGUCACCUCCUUAGCAGGUGCUCGGAACAUAUUUGGAAGAUGAGUCCCCUCGUAUCAGUGCACAUUCCUCAGCAAAAAGUCACAGGCUGCAAAACUUC